rnacentral:rRNA from 1 species
CAGCAGCCACGGGAAUACGGAGGGUGCAAGCGUUAUCCGGAUUUAUUGGGUUUAAAGGGUCCGUAGGCGGACUUAUAAGUCAGUGGUGAAAGCCUGUCGCUUAACGAUAGAACUGCCAUUGAUACUGUAAGUCUUGAGUAUAUUUGAGGUAGCUGGAAUAAGUAGUGUAGCGGUGAAAUGCAUAGAUAUUACUUAGAACACCAAUUGCGAAGGCAGGUUACCAAGAUAUAACUGACGCUGAGGGACGAAAGCGUGGGUAGCGAACAGGAUUAGAUACCCCUGUAGUCCCUGUCUCUUAUAA